rnacentral:rRNA from 1 species
UACGGAGGGUGCAAGCGUUAUCCGGAUUUACUGGGUUUAAAGGGUGCGUAGGUGGGUUGGUAAGUCAGUGGUGAAAUCCCCGAGCUUAACUUGGGAACUGCCAUUGAUACUAUCAGUCUUGAAUACCGUGGAGGUCAGUGGAAUAUGUCAUGUAGCGGUGAAAUGCUUAGAUAUGACAUAGAACACCAAUUGCGAAGGCAGCUGGCUACACGAAUAUUGACACUGAGGCACGAAAGCGUGGGGAUCAAACAGG